GGGUGCGUAACUCAGGUGGAUAGAGUAGCUGCCUUCUAAGCAGCGAGUCGGGGGUUCGAGUCCCUCCGCACCCG
rnacentral:tRNA from 1 species